CCUACGGGAGGCAGCAGUGAGGAAUAUUGGUCAAUGGCCGCAAGGCUGAACCAGCCAAGCCGCGUGAAGGACGAAUGUGCCAAGCAUUGUAAACUUCUUUUGUCAAGGGACAAAAUCAGGCUCGAGAGCCUGACCGAGGGUACUUGAAGAAAAAGCAUCGGCUAACUCCGUGCCAGCAGCCGCGGUAAUACGGAGGAUGCGAGCGUUAUCCGGAUUUAUUGGGUUUAAAGGGUGCGUAGGCGGACUGUUAAGUCAGCGGUAAAAGCCCGGGGCUCAACCCCGGCGAGCCGUUGAAACUGGCAGUCUUGAGAUGUCGAGAGGUAUGCGGAAUGCGCAGUGUAGCGGUGAAAUGCUUAGAUAUUGCGCAGAACUCCGAUUGCGAAGGCAGCAUACCGGCGGCGAUCUGACGCUGAGGCACGAAAGCGUGGGUAUCGAACAGGAUUAGAUACCCUGGUAGUC
rnacentral:rRNA from 1 species